GAUGAACGCUAGCUACAGGCUUAACACAUGCAAGUCGGAGGGGCAGCACAGUGUAGCAAUACACGGGUGGCGACCGGCGCACGGGUGCGUAACGCGUAUCCAACCUUCCCGUUACUCUUGGAUAGCCUUCCGAAAGGGAGAUUAAUACAAGAUGGUAUUCAAAUUCCGCAUGUUAUUUGAAUUAAAGAUUUAUCGGUAACGGAUGGGGAUGCGUGACAUUAGAUAGUAGGCGGGGUAACGCCCACCUAGUCUACGAUGUCUAGGGGUUCUGAGAGGAAGGUCCCCCACACUGGAACUGAGACACGGUCCAGACUCCUACGGGAGGCAGCAGUGAGGAAUAUUGGUCAAUGGUCUGACGACUGAACCAGCCAUGCCGCGUGAAGGUCACGGCCCUAUGGGUCUUAAACUUCUUUUGUUAGGGAGCAAUAAGGUCUACGUGUAGAUCGAUGAGAGUACCUUGCGAAUAAGCAUCGGCUAACUCCGUG
rnacentral:rRNA from 1 species